rnacentral:rRNA from 1 species
GAUGAACGCUGGCGGCGUGCCUAAUACAUGCAAGUCGAGCGAACAGACGAGGAGCUUGCUCCUCUGACGUUAGCGGCGGACGGGUGAGUAACACGUGGAUAACCUACCUAUAAGACUGGGAUAACUUCGGGAAACCGGAGCUAAUACCGGAUAAUAUAUUGAACCGCAUGGUUCAAUAGUGAAAGACGGUUUUGCUGUCACUUAUAGAUGGAUCCGCGCCGCAUUAGCUAGUUGGUAAGGUAACGGCUUACCAAGGCAACGAUGCGUAGCCGACCUGAGAGGGUGAUCGGCCACACUGGAACUGAGACACGGUCCAGACGCCUACGGGAGGCAGCAGUAGGGAAUCUUCCGCAAUGGGCGAAAGCCUGACGGAGCAGCGCCGCGUGAGUGAUGAAGGUCUUCGGAUCGUAAAACUCUGUUAUUAGGGAAGAACAAAUGUGUAAGUAACUAUGCACGUCUUGACGGUACCUAAUCAGAAAGCCACGGCUAACUACGUG